GGUGGCUCAGUGGUAGAGUGCUUGCCUUGCAUGCAUGAGGCCCUGGGUUCAAUUCCUGAACACCA
rnacentral:tRNA from 1 species